GUCCAUGCCGUAAACGAUGUCUACUAGCCGUUGGGCCUUUGAGGCUUUAGUGGCGCAGCUAACGCGAUAAGUAGACCGCCUGGGGAGUACGGUCGCAAGGUUAAACUCAAAUGAAUUGACGGGGCCCGCACAAGCGGUGGAGCAUGUGGUUUAAUUCGAUGCAACGCGAAGAACCUUACCUGGUCUUGACAUAGUAAGAACUUUUCCAGAGAUGGAUUGGUGCCUUCGGGAACUUACAUACAGGUGCUGCAUGGCUGUCGU
rnacentral:rRNA from 1 species